GACGAACGCUGGCGGCGUGCUUAACACAUGCAAGUCGAACGGAAAGGCCCUGCUUUUGUGGGGUGCUCGAGUGGCGAACGGGUGAGUAACACGUGAGUAACCUGCCCUUGACUUUGGGAUAACUUCAGGAAACUGGGGCUAAUACCGGAUAGGAGCUCCUGCUGCAUGGUGGGGGUUGGAAAGUUUCGGCGGUUGGGGAUGUACUCGCGGCUUAUCAGCUUGUUGGUGGGGUAGUGGCUUACCAAGGCUUUGACGGGUAGCCGGCCUGAGAGGGUGACCGGCCACAUUGGGACUGGGAUACGGGCCAGACUCCUACGGGAGGCAGUAGUGGGGAAUAUUGCACGAUGGGCGGAAGCCGGAUGCAGCAACGCCGCGUGCGGGAUGACGGCCUUCGGGUUGUAAACCGCUUUCGCCUGUGACGAAGCGUGAGUGACGGUAAUGGGUAAAGAAGCACCGGCUAACUACGUG
rnacentral:rRNA from 1 species